rnacentral:rRNA from 1 species
GAUCCUGGCUCAGAUUGAACGCUGGCGGCAGGCCUAACACAUGCAAGUCGAACGGUAACAGGAAGCAGCUUGCUGCUUUGCUGACGAGUGGCGGACGGGUGAGUAAUGUCUGGGAAACUGCCUGAUGGAGGGGGAUAACUACUGGAAACGGUAGCUAAUACCGCAUAACGUCGCAAGACCAAAGAGGGGGACCUUAGGGCCUCUUGCCAUCGGAUGUGCCAGAUGGGAUUAGCUAGGUAGGG